GAUGAACGCUGGCGGCGUGCCUAACACAUGCAAGUCGAGCGAGGGUUUGCUCAGUAUUGAGUAUUCUAAGUCUAGAAUGUUCAAUUCUGAGCAAAACCAAGCGGCGGACGGGUGAGUAACGCGUGGGUAACCUGCCCUAUACACAUGGAUAACAUACUGAAAAGUUUACUAAUACAUGAUAAUAUAUAUUUGCGGCAUCGCAGAUAUAUCAAAGUGUUAGCGGUAUAGGAUGGACCCGCGUCUGAUUAGCUAGUUGGUGAGAUAACUGCCCACCAAGGCGACGAUCAGUAGCCGACCUGAGAGGGUGAUCGGCCACAUUGGAACUGAGACACGGUCCAAACUCCUACGGGAGGCAGCAGUGGGGAAUAUUGCACAAUGGGCGAAAGCCUGAUGCAGCAACGCCGCGUGAACGAUGAAGGUCUUCGGAUCGUAAAGUUCUGUUGCAGGGGAAGAUAAUGACGGUACCCUGUGAGGAAGCCCCGGCUAACUACGUGCCAGCAGCCGCGGUAAUACGUAGGGGGCUAGCGUUAUCCGGAUUUACUGGGCGUAAAGGGUGCGUAGGUGGUCCUUCAAGUCGGUGGUUAAAGGCUACGGCUCAACCGUAGUAAGCCGCCGAAACUGGAGGACUUGAGUGCAGGAGAGGAAAGUGGAAUUCCCAGUGUAGCGGUGAAAUGCGUAGAUAUUGGGAGGAACACCAGUAGCGAAGGCGGCUUUCUGGACUGCAACUGACACUGAGGCACGAAAGCGUGGGUAGCAAACAGG
rnacentral:rRNA from 1 species